rnacentral:rRNA from 1 species
UACGGAGGGAGCUAGCGUUGUUCGGAAUUACUGGGCGUAAAGCGCACGUAGGCGGCUUUCUAAGUCGGGGUGAAAUCCUGGAGCUCAACUCCAGAACUGCCUUCGAUACUGGAAAGCUCGAGUCCGGGAGAGGUGAGUGGAACUGCGAGUGUAGAGGUGAAAUUCGUAGAUAUUCGCAAGAACACCAGUGGCGAAGGCGGCUCACUGGCCCGGUACUGACGCUGAGGUGCGAAAGCGUGGGGAGCAAACAGGG